AAGGCUCAUUGGGAUUUGCCCCUCAAUGAACUGAUGUGUGUGGGGGGGUGCGCGCAAGUUGGAAGUUUUGCCUAGAGCGCAAAAUAUCCUUGCACCGGCCCUGCCUAUUCUCAGAGUCUCAACAACUGAAGAUGAGACAACUUAGUUCAUGAUCGCCUCCUGCACUUUGCUCCUUGUAAGCAGGAUCCUAUGAAUAUUUACUAAGCUUCCCCUGGAAGAUGCUCUGAGUUUGACGACUAAAAUCACAGGGGGAGAGAUGAGGAAAUUGAAGGAUCCUCAGAACUCCAAGACCAAGAGGAUCCACACUCAUCCUCUCCUUGACAAGGGAGAGAAAAUGGCCGUGAUCUAUAAACCAGCUAUGGGAACAGUGAAUGGUGCCAUGGUUAAUUCUGAACAAGUUCCAAGCUAAUGUCCUUUCUCUGGGUCUCCCAGUGUGCCUGUGCUUUCGCCUGGGAGCUCUUGGGACCAGGACUUCCUAUAAGCAUAGAAAGUCACGCUGUCAGCACUUAAUUGGUGCAAAUCCAAGACACUAUGUGUACAGCUGUUAUUUCGUAGAACAUUCUAGUCUUGGAAUAGCAGCUAGUGAGUAGCCUCCCUGGCAGAGAGGGCUAUUUGAGAGUCCACAGAAGAAGCGUUAUGUAGGAUAGGAAGUUACCUCAAGAGUUAUUUCUGCCCAGGAAUAAAGGAAGCCAAAGGAGUCCAUUCUCAGUGGGGUGAGGAUGGAGUCAAAUUCAGAUCUAGCCCCCUCCCCGUUACUGGAAAAGAUCCAGGGGAAACGACUUCAGGAGCUUUUUGCAUCUUAUAAUUUAUUUUGCAGCUUCACACGGACUCAGAACCCCUUGUGCCCUCUCCACUAUGAGAGAGAAAUGGCUGCAUAGUGACAUCUGGAACUGCUCCAAACACACUGCCCUCCUGAUGGACUUGCGGAGCCAAGUAAUUAGCACCCCUAUGUCAUUUGAAAGCCCUAUUUCCUGUCCAAGUGCGUAGCACGCGGCAGCCUGAGCCCCGAGGGGAAGACAGGCUCUUGGGGAGAGGUUUGAUUGGCUGUGUCGUGCAGCCACGGAUAGAAUGCAUAAAGGUGGGUGUGCGGCAGUAGAAGCCACCGCCCCGAGUCUUGUGUUCUCAUGCCAAAGUCUGCAGUGCGGAAAAAUAGGCCGAUUCCUCUUGCAAUCUUCCUACACAGCUGUUUACUGCCUGCGGAUUACUGCAGUCACAUGAGCUGCUUUACAGCAAAGCCAAGCUGUCUUCAUGAGCUGAGAAGGUCACUGGGAAGACACCAGGCUCAAGAGAGAAACAUACUGCCCUCCACCGGGCAGCUACAUUAACAUUCCCCUCCUGGUCACAGGGCAAGAGAAAAAUGGCUUCACAUUCCAGCCUGUCGUCAUGCCCCACCCAAUGACAGCAGAGAGCAGGGGAAGUUUAUGGGAGGAACCGUCUCACUUCGUAAGAUGCCUUAUACAGUUACAACAGCUUGCUGGGAUUUGAGCCAGCUUCCCAUUUGGAUCAAAUUGCAUCCCUCUCCCACUGACAUCCAUUAAGAAAGAGCUCAAAGCUGCCCUCAGGUUAGACUAUUUUUCUGCUACCAAAAAAAACCCCUGUAACAUUUUCUAAUGGACUCUUCACUCUUUUCCCAAAAACAGAGGGUGCCCAUACUUUGCCCAGUUAAUAGCCAUGUGGGCAACCUGCCAGGAUUCCGAGAGCCAGGCCCUAUUUGCGUCAAAAAGUUCAGAGUGCAGCCAGCCUCAUCAGUAACAUAGAGGCGCAGAGGUGGUAGAGCCCCUCCUGAUCGGAACCGAUUGAGGGUAACCACAGGCUGAACCACAGUCAUACCUCGGCAUCACUUCAGUCAACCCUGCAGGGUAGAAAAACGACAAUGCAGCUAAGGGCAUACAAGGCCUGGAAGAAGGCCCGCAACACGUGGUCUGAGGGAAAAUCUGCUUCUCCCAGGAAUGAGGUCAGCCACCAUGGAGCCUGAAACUGCAGCAGGUGCUACGUCACUCCCCUCUACACAGGACCCAGACACCAGAGGAUCAGCAGGGAUCAGAGACCACAAGGACCAAAAGGUCCCCCUUCCUCCAAGUCUCCCUCUUGUGGGCUGGCACUCCCUUAGAUACCUCACCAGCUGUCUGUUCAUGGAGGCAGCUUGGCUGGGCUCCUGAACAAGGGAGGGGGCUCCUGCAGCACUUGUUCAAGGCUGCCUGAUGAGUGUCGACAAAGAGGAUGGUGAGCAAGGAACUUCGGCUAGUGAGAGCGGUGGAGAAGAUUGAGUGAAGGGGCACUUUUUUGCAUGGUGGAUGCUAUUAGAAUGGAAGCUCUUUGGGGGCAGGGACUGGGUCUUCCUACAUGUUUGGGGAGCCCUGAGCACAUUUUGGGCAUUGAAACAAGCAAAAAAUAUAUGUUUGUAAUCCUAUUUGGUAUCAGAGUCAGGAACAGUGCCCCCUCUUUCCUAAAAGUGCGUAGAGCAGAGAGAGCCUGGCUGGAAUUUAAGGGGCAGCUUUGGGGCUGAUCUUGUUCUGCUGCCACGGUUAGACAAAUCCUGCUUUGAACUUGUAA